CAGUCGCCACGGUAAUACGUAGGGUGCGAGCGUUAAUCGGAAUUACUGGGCGUAAAGCGUGCGCAGGCGGUUGUGUAAGACAGGUGUGAAAUCCCCGGGCUUAACCUGGGAACUGCGCUUGUGACUGCACAGCUAGAGUAUGGCAGAGGGGGGUGGAAUUCCACGUGUAGCAGUGAAAUGCGUAGAGAUGUGGAGGAACACCGAUGGCGAAGGCAGCCCCCUGGGCCAAUACUGACGCUCAUGCACGAAAGCGUGGGGAGCAAACAGGAUUAGAGACCCCUGUAGUCCCUGUCUCUAAUAC
rnacentral:rRNA from 1 species